ensembl:lncRNA
GGAGGGGCCGGCGUACCGUCCUCAGUCAGCGUGUGGCUGGCAGAGACUCCGUCCGUGUCCGUGACCACCACGGAGUACCGGCCCAGGUCGUCUUUGUCCGGGUUGGUGAAAGUCAGCCUGGAGCUGGAAAUCCAAUAAAAUCCAUCAAAGACCCAUUAAAGUCCAUUAAAAUCCGUUAAAAGUCUGUUAAAAUCCGUUAAAAGUCUAAGCUAGAAUAACACCGGGGCAAACUAUUUGUUUUAUAAUUGUGAUAUAAAUAUAUAAAUAAUAAUAUAUAUAAAUAUGAGUAAACACGUGAGGUUGCAUUCUCACGUACGUGCGGCCCUUGGUGGUGACGGCGACCCUCGGGCAGUCGCCGAUGGCUCUGUAGUUCUUGGACCAAACGAACUUGGAGGUCUCAGAGAUCUCGCAGGCCUCCAGAGACAGGAAGAUGUCUCCGGUCUCCUCGUCCACGCCGGCCACCAGCUCCUGAGUGCCUGAGACCAAUAAAACCAUUUAUGUGUACAUCUUACAAAAUGACCCGCUGCAAACAACUGCCCCAAUCUGUCAACAAUUCCCCAAAUAAAUGUGUGCUCCAAUUAUUUGGGAUGUUUGUGUUGCUAAGAAAAUAUUCUCCCAGCACAUUUAAGAUUCAAUCAAUUCUGAAUUUAAAGUAUAAAUACUGUACACUUUACUUGGGUAUAUUAAUAAUAAUACAAUAACAUUGUGACAUUGAGGCAAUAUUGUGACAUUAAUGGGUUAAUAACUAAGAUAAAAGUCUACUACUUAAACUUCAGUCAGAAUUGAUAAUUAUCAUAUUUUAUAGCUGAAAUUCAGUUGUGAACCUUUUAAAUAUUCAAUUACUACCUGUAAACACUCAAUGUCUCCAGGCCUCUGUGGGUUUAAAGAUUAAUCACAAGGGAUUUUUCCUUUGCUGAUGACAGAGGACGUCGCGUGUUUACAGACUGUAAAGCUUUCUGAUGUAUUUUGAUUUUGACAAAAUUAACUGAUGUUAAUGUUUAAGCGCGUCUCUGUAACUGUAAAUGGUGUUUAGUGAGAUGGAGUGACGUGAGAGAAGGGUAUGUUGUUGUUGUUGUUGUUGUUGACACAACAAGGUGUGACCCAGAACAAACCAGUGGUGCUUAGUGGUGGUUACCUGGCAGAGCUUUGGCACAGACCGGCUCAGACGCCUGGGACGGUUUCCCGACCCCGUUGGCGUUGAUGGACCGGACUCUGAAGACGUAGGCUUCCCCUUCCUCCAGACCAGUCACCUGCAGGAAACCACGGUAACCACGGUAACCACGGAAGCACAACGUCACAGGCUCCGCGCGGAUGUUUUCAUUGACAGCAAAACUAUUAAAGACGAGAUAUAAAGCAUCAUUUUUUUCCCGUUGCGUUGUUGGCUUUAAUUGGCGGUGGUUUUGGCGCUCCCUGUGGAGGACAGCGGUAGUGUUCUUAGACUAUUUCUACUGCAGCAGGUCAGACGGGCUGAGGGUCUGUGUGAUGUCACCUCGGUCUAUAUUCUAGUUAAAAACAGAGUUCUGUUCGUUGGCCUGGUUAACUUCUGCCGGCCUCCUACCUGCAGGUAACGAUGGCUCACGGCCUCCUGGUUCAGAGUAGCAAACUCCGAUGAGCCUUUCUUGGCCAUCUCCACCACGUAUCCAGUCACUGCACUGGCCCCGGUGUAGACCGGAGCCUUCCACAGGAUGACCAGGGACUGACCUCUGACCUCGCUGAAGCUCAGGUCGUAGGCCGGGCCUGGAGGACGGGCGUAGGAUAACAGGAAGAUGAGCAGAAAGGAACGAUGUCUGCACAUUGUUGUCAUUAUUGUAGAAGCAGCGGCGGUCCUCCACCUGGCUCGUCCAUGGUCCCACGCUUCACAUUUCAUCGGAGCGCUGGGAGCACUGGGAACGCCGACACCGGCCAUGUUAGCGGGCCUGGAUCUUAAACUCGUAGAAGACUCCCUCCGUCAGAUUGUCAAUCUGAAGAUACAGAGAGAGCGAGAAAAACAGAGAGUCUCUGUUUCUAUAAUCCAGAGUGUGAUUGUUUCUAUAAUCCAGAGUGAUUGGUUCUAUAAUACAGUGUGAUUGUUACUAUAAUCCAGUGUGAUUGUUACUAUAAUCCAGUGUGAUUGGUUCUAUAAUCCAGAGUGUGAGUGUUACUAUAAUCCAGUAUGAUUGUUUCUAUAAUACAGAGUGUGAUUGUUACUAUAAUCCAGUGUGAUUGUUUCUAUAAUCCAGUGUGAUUGGUUCUAUAAUCCAAUGUGAUUGUUUCUAUAAUCCAGAGUGUGAUUGGUUCUAUAAUCCAGGGUGAUUGUUUCCAUGCAGUGUGAUAUGAGCCCACUCACGCUGCAGAGCCUCUCUGUGACCCCCGUCAUGUUGACCUCGUUCCACAGCAGCGUGUCGGCGUUCCUCUUGUCGAUGUAGUAGGCGUUGAUCUUGGAGCCCCCGCAGUGGGCGGGGCUCUUCCAGGCCAAGGUCAUGGAGGAGCCGUCGCAGCUCAGCAUGGUGAUGCCGAACGGAGCGCUGGGAGUCGCUGCAUCACAGAGAACCUUCAUGUUUAAUAUCAGAGGCUUAACAACCGUUAAGAGCUUUAAAAAAGUAUGUACGUGAGAAAAACAUCCGUGUUUCACUACUUGACUUUACUGUGAGAGUGAAAGUAUCCAUAAUGAAUUAUAAUCAUACUUACAAUAUGUUAAACUCUGCUUAUAGCACAUUAUACUCACACACUUUAUAUCAGUAAUGAUUACACAUUAUAAACCAAAUAGUAACUUACAAGGUCAAAUGAAGAAAUACUUUAAGACCAACAAUUAAAGUUCAUAAUUGUUGGUCUUAGAUAUUGUUAUUAUUAUUAGACGGUUAUUAAUAGGAUGACAAAAUACUAAUAAUAAAAAAGCUUUUAAAUGUGUUGUUGCUAUAAAGCAUUUUUCUCUGAGUGGUUAUAACUAUAAUUGUACAGUUCUGUAUGCAGACGAUAACACAUUGUGAAUAUGUUCAUAAUGUAUAUAGAUGUGGACGUGUUAAAUAUAUCAAAUAAAUAAACACGUCUCAUAACUGAACAUAAACAAAAUACCAUCUUUCUUUGACUGUGACAUUUCACAUGUGAUUAAAGCUCACGAUGCACAGUGACAGUGCACAAAGUGAGGGAGUCAGGAGGGGGGAAAUCAGCUGUUUCCCUACGUACCAUAUUCCCCCCCCGGGCCUGGAUAGAGUGAUGAAAUGAACACAACAAUGAACACAACAUAUGACAUCACCAUCAACCUCCCAUCACCCCCUUCGUUUACCUUUCACUCUGUAAGUCUUUAAGCAGAGCUUAUAAUAAAGAAAUAUUAAGAUAAAGGUAUAUUUUAAUAGGGGUAUAUUAGGAUAAAGUUAUAUUAUAAUUAUAAUGUAAGUUAUAUAUUGUUAGGUAUAUUGUAAUAAAGGUAUAUUGUGAUAAAGGUAUAUUAGUAUAAAGGUAUAUUAGGAUAAAGGUAUAUUGUAAUAAAGGUAUAUUAGGAUAAAGGUAUAUUAGGAUAAAGGUAUAUCAGGAUAAAGGUAUAUUGUAAUAAAGGUAUAUUAGGAUAAAGGUAUAUUGUAAUUAAGGUAUAUCAGGAUAAAGGUAUAUUGUAAUAAAGGUAUAUUAGGAUAAAGGUAUAUUGUAAUAAAGGUGUAUCAGGUAAAGGGGGGGUCUCUUACAGAGGGUCGGCUCCACGGAGAUGGGAGAGGACUCCUGAGACUCCUCGCUGAGGCCGAACACGUUGACGGCCUGGACGCGGAACGUGUAGGUUUCUCCUGGGAUGAGCCCGUGCACCACGAACCUGAAGCACGCACACACACACAGACACACACACAUUAUUCUUCAGUCACAGUCACCAUGAUCUUUUGUGCCUAAUAGUGUUGCCAACAUUACUCAUGUGUAUGCAAAUUAUUUCUCUCCGUAGACACUUUAAAACAUAAUACGUAACAUUUGUACAUGAUCAACGAGUCGAAUUAGGACAAAUCCAUCCAGUACAUCAGCUUGUGUCGUCACUUAGAACACCGGCCUUUUUGGCCCAGAAACUCCAAAAGAACUCUGAGAUACAACAAAAGCUUUCACAGGUGUCGAGACCCCUCCUCUGCAGGUGGACCUCAUUGAGGGGGGGGGGGGGGGGUACCUGGAUUGCUUGAAGGGUUUGUGGUUGCAGGGGAACCAGUCCUUGGUCCCGGCGACGCGGCGUCGAUGUAGUAGCCCACCAGGUUCUUCGGAUGACUCGGGGGGUCCCACUGCACGAACACGGAGGACUUGGUGUUCCUGGGGGCCACCACCUGACCGGGAGCAGAGGGGACGCCUGUCGGGGGGGGUGACAUGUAGACGUGAGAACACAUUGGACAUUCUAGGGAAAAGGACCCGUGGACAUCUGUACAGAGUCAACGAGGGGCUCGCUGCACUGCGUCGGGGCAGCUGUCAAUCACAGGAAUCAAACGCACAACCCGUGUUUAUGCCUUCUGCAAAGUGAGCGGCUGCAGGUCACAAUGACCGACAACUAUUAAACGUGCGAAGACAAAGAAGCGUCAGGAGGACCAACAAAUGUGGGGGGGGGGGGAACAUGACAUGUGGUUUUGUUUUAAGGAUCCGUGACAGAAGAGUGAAGUUAGAGAACAUUUGACUUGAGAGAUGCGAGACUGUGAUGUAAAACAAACAACAAUAUCUUUUGUUUCCAAAUAGCGGCUACACACCAAUAAUAAGGCUGCACAAUGCAUGCUGGGAUACGAGCCUGAUGGAGAUAGGAUGACAUAUAUAUAUAUUUAUAUAUACUGAAUCCUCUCCCCAGGGCGAGGAGUGAAGGGACCUGUGAGGUCACAAUGGCGUGAAUCAGUGUUUAAGUUGAACUGUACGUACCCAGCGGCCCCCCAGCACCUGUAACACACCGCACGUCCACCAGAGCUCAACGAACGCACUUUAAACCAAGAUGAACUACAAGUCCCUCAGGAAGCCUCCGGCGAUUUGGGUUGUUUGAAACCGCCGGGGAGCGUACGGCGAAAUGAAGAUAUCACAUAAAAGCUGUCAGGACGUGUUUGCACGCCUUACCGUCCUCGCCCCCCCUCUGGGCGGGCUCCGAGGGCUCCGAGGCCUCGCUGGAGCCGAACCGGUUGACCGCGGUCACUCGGAAGCGGUACCUUUGCCCCUCUUGCAAAUCAAAAACCGGGUAGCGGGGCGAGUGCAGCUCGACCGCCGCGUUGAUCCGCUGCCAAGCUGCAGUGCCCGCUAAGCACUGUGGGAGAG